AGUGAACGCUGGCGGUAGGCCUAACACAUGCAAGUCGAACGGCAGCACAGUAAGAGCUUGCUCUUACGGGUGGCGAGUGGCGGACGGGUGAGGAAUACGUCGGAAUCUACUUUUUCGUUGGGGAUAACGUAGGGAAACUUACGCUAAUACCGCAUACGACCUACGGGUGAAAGCAGGGGAUCUUCGGACCUUGCGCGAUUGAAUGAGCCGAUGUCGGAUUAGCUAGUUGGCGGGGUAAAGGCCCACCAAGGCGACGAUCCGUAGCUGGUCUGAGAGGAUGAUCAGCCACACUGGAACUGAGACACGGUCCAGACUCCUACGGGAGGCAGCAGUGGGGAAUAUUGGACAAUGGGCGCAAGCCUGAUCCAGCCAUACCGCGUGGGUGAAGAAGGCCUUCGGGUUGUAAAGCCCUUUUGUUGGGAAAGAAAAGCAGCAGGUUAAUACCCCGCUGUUCUGACGGUACCCAAAGAAUAAGCACCGGCUAACUUCGUG
rnacentral:rRNA from 1 species